rnacentral:lncRNA from 1 species
AUAUCCUCUUAUAUUUUUCUCUCUCUCAUGGAGCGUGUGCUCUCUCUCUCUUUUACUUUAAUUUUUAUUUAAUUUAAUAUUCAUACCUUCUCUCUCCUCUCACUCUCUCACCAAGAAAUGUGCAUACCUCUUCUCUCUCUCUCUCUCUCUCUCUCUCUCUCUCUCUCUAACAUUACUUGGACCACUCUUCACUUCUUCUCUCCUCUCUUUCCUAUUUACAGCAACAAGAACNUCUCUCUCUCUCUCUCUCUCUCUCUCUCUCUUAGUUUAAUUUUUAAUUUAAUACUCUCUUUUCUCUCCUUUUCCAAACAAAAUAAAUGACUUUUUUAACCAAAUUAAAUUUAAAUUUAGUAAUUAUAUAUUUUUAAAAAUAUUUUAAUUUUUAAUUUUCUAAAUUAUGAGUAAAAUACACUCUAUUU